AACGAACGCUGGCGGCAUGCCUAACACAUGCAAGUCGAACGGGAUCCAGGCUUCGGCCUGGUGAGAGUGGCGGACGGGUGAGUAACGCGUGGGAACCUGCCCAAUGGUCUGGGAUAACCGCGGGAAACUGCGGCUAAUACCGGAUAUGACAUCUGGCCGCAUGGUCUGGGUGUGGAAAGAUUUAUCGGUCAAGGAUGAGCUCGCGGCCUAUCAGCUUGUUGGGGGGUAAUGGCCCACCAAGGCGACGACGGGUAGCCGGCCUGAGAGGGCGACCGGCCACACUGGGACUGAGACACGGCCCAGGCUCCUACGGGAGGCAGCAGUGGGGAAUAUUGUACAAUGGGCGAAAGCCUGAUGCAGCGACGCCGCGUGAGGGAUGACGGCCUCGGUGUAA
rnacentral:rRNA from 1 species